CCUACGGGAGGCAGCAGUGAGGAAUAUUGGUCAAUGGGCGGGAGCCUGAACCAGCCAAGCCGCGUGAGGGAAGAAGGUACUGCGUACCGUAAACCUCUUUUGUCAGGGAACAAAGGCGGGGAAUAGUCCCCGGAUGAGGGUACCUGAAGAAAAAGCAUCGGCUAACUCCGUGCCAGCAGCCGCGGUAAUACGGAGGAUGCGAGCGUUAUCCGGAUUUAUGGGGUUUAAAGGGUGCGCAGGCGGCCUGUUAAGUCAGCGGUAAAAGCCCGGGGCUCAACCCCGCCGAGCCGUUGAAACUGGCGGGCUGGAGUUGGAGAGAGGUACGCGGAAUGCGCGGUGUAGCGGUGAAAUGCUUAGAGAUCGCGCAGAACCCCGAUGGCGAAGGCAGCGUACCGGCUCCACACUGACGCUGAGGCACGAAAGCGUGGGUAUCGAACAGGAUUAGAUACCCCAGUAGUC
rnacentral:rRNA from 1 species